UUAAUAUCAGAUGAUUCAAAACCAAUUAAUAAAAAAUGAUUCGCCUACAAACGUAAAAUAUACAUUGUCUCCAAUGUAAAAAUAAAUACAAAGGAGGUAUAGGACUUUCCUGAAUACAUCAGCUAGUGUCAUUGCCAUCAUCCUGGUGAGGUGGGUCUUGGUGGCUGGAUGAUAUGGGAAUGUCGCCUGAUGAGAGAAUGUCAUGUAGGGCUAUGCAAAGUACAACACCGUGAAAAAUUCAUUCGGAUAUUGAUAUUGUGUAUGCAUUGAAUUCUGCAAUUGUUAAUAUUGAUCAUUCAUAGAUGCCUGCAAUUAAUUCAGUUUAUGUGGGAUCUAAUCAUGUCUCUGUUUUUGCCUCAAUUCCAACUCAUCUUGUUUCUUUGUGAGCUAUAACAGCAUGGCCUCGAUCUGACUAAUAAUGUCUUCAUUUGGCUCGACCGGAGCAAGAUGGUCGUGCCUCUAUUUUUCUAUGGUGGGGCUCUUGUGGAGUCUUGCUUACAAAUGAAGUAAUCAGUGAUUUUGGAUAAACUACCUCCCCGCUAGGGAGGUCACAAUUUCCCAUUCUCUGCAUAGAGCAUAUAUCAAUGAAGGAGAACCCAAAUCAAUAGUUGUGGAACCUUUAAGAAUAUGCAAUAAAUUAGUCUGAAUAAUUGUGCCCGCAUCAAUAUUGGGGCUUCUCCUAAUCGCAUAGUUCAAUAAAGUCCCUUUUUUAUCACUUCACUAAAAUUGCUGCUGGGCAAAAGUUUAGCACAUAUGAAAUAAUGUCACACUUUGCAUUUAGCAUACAUCCCUGUGGCCGAAAAUUAGUGACAUCUGUGCUCGAUCAUUUCCAUGUGGUGUCUGGGUUAUCCAACUCUCGUAUUAUUCCCUUCUUCACGCAGUAUGGAGAAGUUAUCAUUAUCAAUAUCUGGCAAUCUAUAGAACCUAUUGAUUGAGUUCUAUAAAAAAGGAUCCACUUGCCCCAUACAUAGACUUUUAAAUCUCUGUGGCCCUUAGCAUGUGAAAUUCUCGUACCACUGUAUCAACCCCAAUUGUGGUUGUUUUGUAAAUAACUCCAAAUGUUGACCCUAGUCUACUCUCUCAUUUAAAGUUUAAGAUUAUGGAAUACAACUCUUGUGAAAUACCAUGUCUUGAUAUUUCUUAUCUGCUUUGGCACUCGUAAAUUUAUUUUGUCACAAGGUUGGAAGAAGAGGCUGAGGAUUUUGAUUUCUUUUUAGAUGACAUUGUGAACUUCAAAAGGCAACAAAGUCAAUCAAUUUCAACCACUACAACCUCCAUGUAAUAUGAUGAAUUUCUUAAUAUCAAAAUACCAACAACAAUUCACUUCAUCAGUCUCUACUCAACACCACAACAAUGUUGCAUAUUUCACAAUGUCAAUGGAAGUGAACAAACAUAUCAAAUAGAUCACCUAAAUAAUUUAAGUUCUCUAAGGACUUGCAACAAAUACUUUGUACAAUUCAUAAAUUCACGUCUCAAAAUGCCAAUACCCCACAAUAUACCAAAAACCCAAAAUAACUUUUUUUAUUUCUUUCACAUCCUACCACCAAGUGUAAGAAACACAAUUUAUCUCAAAAUUCCAAAGAAAAGUUUAGAAACAUACCAUUCCUUGUGUAGUCUUCAUAAAGUAACCCACUAGCUUGAAGUUGAUGGAAGUAAAUCUUGGAGGUCAGAAUGAAUUGUGAUGUAUGGGUAUAAUUUGAGUUUUGUGUAGAUCUUGGUAAGUUUGAAGGAAAAAAGAGAGACAUUUUUGUGUUGAUGUGUUGUUAUAUGAAGAGAAUUUGAAGAAUGAAGAGAAAAAAAUUUGUUAGGGCUUGAGAGAAUUUGGGGAAGAGUGGAAUUGCUAUGUGAGAGUUGUGUUGAAGUUGUAAAAUAAAAAGAAGUGAGGAUUUUAUAUAUGGGAGUUGUAAUGUAGAAAGAAAGAGAAAAGAAAGAAAAAAUCAUA
rnacentral:lncRNA from 1 species